AGCGAACGCUGGCGGCAGGCCUAACACAUGCAAGUCGAACGAACCCUUCGGGGUUAGUGGCGGACGGGUGAGUAACACGUGGGAACGUGCCUAUAGGUUCGGAAUAACUCAGGGAAACUUGUGCUAAUACCGAAUGUGCCCUUCGGGGGAAAGAUUUAUCGCCUUUAGAGCGGCCCGCGUCUGAUUAGCUAGUUGGUGAGGUAAAGGCUCACCAAGGCGACGAUCAGUAGCUGGUCUGAGAGGAUGAUCAGCCACAUUGGGACUGAGACACGGCCCAAACUCCUACGGGAGGCAGCAGUGGGGAAUCUUGCGCAAUGGGCGAAAGCCUGACGCAGCCAUGCCGCGUGAAUGAUGAAGGUCUUAGGAUUGUAAAAUUCUUUCACCGGGGACGAUAAUGACGGUACCCGGAGAAGAAGCCCCGGCUAACUUCGUGCCAGCCGCCGCGGUAAUAC
rnacentral:rRNA from 1 species